rnacentral:rRNA from 1 species
CUUAAAUUUAAAAGUAUUCAUAUCGCCGUCUUAAGAUUAAAAUAUAAACUUUAAUCUAAAAAAUUCAUAUUACUACGUCAGGUCGACAUAAAGCCCACAUUUAAGGGAGCCUAGUUACUAAUUUUUUUUAAUAAACUAAAUCCACCAAAAGAGUAAUUUAUUUAGGAUUUAAUAGUAAUUUUCAGGUAAUUUUUGUAAAUGAAAAGAUUCUUAGGUGUACAUAUCGCCCGUCACCCUCGUCUAAAGAUGAGGUAAGUCGUAACACAGUUAAUAUACUGGAAAGUGUAUUAAGGG